GAGUUUGAUCAUGGCUCAGGACGAACGCUGGCGGCGUGCUUAACACAUGCAAGUCGAACGAUGAAGCCUAGCUUGCUAGGUGGAUUAGUGGCGAACGGGUGAGUAAUACGUGAGUGACCUACCUUUGACUCUGGGAUAAGCCUGGGAAACUGGGUCUAAUACCGGAUACGACCAAUCUCCGCAUGGGGUGUUGGUGGAAAGCGUUAUGGAGUGGUUUUAGAUGGGCUCACGGCCUAUCAGCUUGUUGGUGAGGUAAUGGCUUACCAAGGCGACGACGGGUAGCCGGCCUGAGAGGGUGACCGGCCACACUGGGACUGAGACACGGCCCAGACUCCUACGGGAGGCAGCAGUGGGGAAUAUUGCACAAUGGGCGCAAGCCUGAUGCAGCGACGCCGCGUGAGGGAUGACGGCCUUCGGGUUGUAAACCUCUGUUAGCAUCGAAGAAGCGAAAGUGACGGUAGGUGCAGAGAAAGCGCCGGCUAACUACGUGCCAGCAGCCGCGGUAAUACGUAGGGCGCGAGCGUUGUCCGGAAUUAUUGGGCGUAAAGAGCUUGUAGGCGGUUGGUCGCGUCUGCUGUGAAAGGCUGGGGCUUAACCCUGGUUUUGCAGUGGGUACGGGCUAACUAGAGUGCAGUAGGGGAGACUGGAAUUCCUGGUGUAGCGGUGGAAUGCGCAGAUAUCAGGAGGAACACCGAUGGCGAAGGCAGGUCUCUGGGCUGUAACUGACGCUGAGAAGCGAAAGCAUGGGGAGCGAACAGGAUUAGAUACCCUGGUAGUCCAUGCCGUAAACGUUGGGCACUAGGUGUGGGGGACAUUCCACGUUUUCCGCGCCGUAGCUAACGCAUUAAGUGCCCCGCCUGGGGAGUACGGCCGCAAGGCUAAAAACUCAAAGAAAUUGACGGGGGCCCGCACAAGCGGCGGAGCAUGCGGAUUAAUUCGAUGCAACGCGAAGAACCUUACCAAGGCUUGACAUAUACUGGACUGUGUCAGAGAUGGCGUUUCCCUUCGGGGCUGGUAUACAGGUGGUGCAUGGUUGUCGUCAGCUCGUGUCGUGAGAUGUUGGGUUAAGUCCCGCAACGAGCGCAACCCUCGUUCUAUGUUGCCAGCACGUGAUGGUGGGGACUCAUAGGAGACUGCCGGGGUCAAACUCGGAGGAAGGUGGGGAUGACGUCAAAUCAUCAUGCCCCUUAUGUCUUGGGCUUCACGCAUGCUACGAUGGCCGGUACAGAGGGUUGCGAUACUGUGAGGUGGAGCUAAUCCCUAAAAGCCGGUCUCGGUUCGGAUUGGGGUUCUGCAACUCGAACCCCGUAAAGUUCGGAAGUCGCGAGUGAAUCGCGGAUUCGGCGACGGCUGCGGUAAUGCGUUUCCCGGGCCUGUUCGCGCUCCCCGUCG
rnacentral:rRNA from 1 species